GUGAAUCAUCGAAUCUUUGAACGCAUAUUGCGCCCAUUAGUAUUCUAGUGGGCAUGCCUAUUCGAGCGUCAUUUCGACCCCUAAGCCCCUGUUGCUUAGCGUUGGGAAUCUACGGCGUAGUUCCUUAAAGUUAGUGGCGGAGUUAGGGUACACUCUCAGCGUAGUAAUAUCUCUCGCUCGUGUGGUGGCCCUGGCUGCUAGCCGUUAAAACCCCUAUACUUUCUAGUGGUUGACCUCGGAUUAGGUAGGAAUACCCGCUGAACUUAAGCAUAUCAAUAAGCGGAGGA
rnacentral:misc_RNA from 1 species